GUGUCAGCAGCCGCGGUAAUACGGAGGGUGCAAGCGUUGUUCGGAAUUAUUGGGCGUAAAGGGCGCGUAGGUGGUUGUGAUAGUCAGAUGUGAAAUCCUCUGGCUCAACUGGAGAACUGCAUCUGAAACUUCAUAACUCGAGUACAGGAGAGGGAAACGGAAUUCCCGGUGUAGAGGUGAAAUUCGUAGAUAUCGGGAGGAACACCAGUGGCGAAGGCGGCUUCCUGGCCUGAUACUGACACUGAGGCGCGAAAGCGUGGGGAGCAAACAGGAUUAGAUACCCUGGUAGUCCACGCGGUAAACGGUGAACACUAGGUGUGGGAGGUGUAAUACCUUCUGUGCCGAAGCUAACGCGUUAAGUGUUCCGCCUGGGAAGUACGGCCGCAAGGUUGAAACUUAAAGGAAUUGACGG
rnacentral:rRNA from 1 species